UGCCAGCCGCCGCGGUAAUACGAAGGGGGCUAGCGUUGUUCGGAAUUACUGGGCGUAAAGCGCACGUAGGCGGAUCGUUAAGUGAGGGGUGAAAUCCCAGGGCUCAACCCUGGAACUGCCUUUAAAACUCCCAGUCUUGAGUUCGAGAGAGGUGAGUGGAAUUCCGAGUGUAGAGGUGAAAUUCGUAGAUAUUCGGAGGAACGCCAGUGGCGAAGGCGGCUCACUGGACCGGUACUGACGCUGAGGUACGAAAGCGUGGGGAGCGAACAGGAUUAGAUA
rnacentral:rRNA from 1 species